rnacentral:rRNA from 1 species
UGGGGAAUAUUGGACAAUGGGCGCAAGCCUGAUCCAGCCAUACCGCGUGUGUGAAGAAGGCCCUAGGGUUGUAAAGCACUUUAAGUUGGGAAGAAAAGUUAUUGGUUAAUACCCAAUGACCGUGACAUUACCUUCAGAAUAAGGACCGGCUAAUUCCGUGCCAGCAGCCGCGGUAAUACGGAAGGUCCAAGCGUUAAUCGGAAUUACUGGGCGUAAAGCGCGCGUAGGUGGUUUAUUAAGUUGGAUGUGAAAUCCCCGGGCUCAACCUGGGAACUGCAUCCAAAACUGAUUCACUAGAGUACGAUAGAGGGAGGUAGAAUUCACAGUGUAGCGGUGGAAUGCGUAGAUAUUGUGAAGAAUACCAAUGGCGAAGGCAGCCUCCUGGAUCUGUACUGACACUGAGGUGCGAAAGCGUGGGUAGCGAACAGG